UUUGACUAUUUCAUUUCAUUUUUCAUUUCAUUUAUUUCAAAAAACAUUAGUAAAAUAAGACUUAGUCUUUUUUAGUACAACAGGUUCAUACAAAUUACAAAUUACAACAAUAGAAUAUUAAAUGUAAUAACAAAUAUCGAGAGUAUUCUAGAUAAAUAUUACAAAUACAGAUUGGUUCAUCAAUUUGAAGAGAAGUGGGUAUACAGAAUAGCUUUAAAGUUGCUCUUGUUAAGUUUGCUUCUAACAUUAAUUGGAAUGGAGUUCCAGAUUCGUAUAGCGUUAAUGAAAAACAGUCUUGUGGAAUUGUUAAAUUUGUAUAGAGGUAAGAUUAAGUCGUACGAUCGCUCCGACUUAGGAAAGAUAAGUUUUUCAUAUAAGUAAUAAGG